AGAGCUGACAUAGACGCAAAUGCAGAUCCAGCUUCAAAAAGUUUUCAAUCUUCUUCUUUGCAUCCCGACAUUUAUCCUUCAAACACUCCGCUUGGCCCAUACGAAUUCUUCCCAGGCAGUUUCCACAAUAAGAGUGCUUUUUGGGGGCAGGCUCCCCAAAAAGAUCAGCGAAGUACUUCUUGAGUAGAUGUACCGUCAGAUAACGAAGAAGUGACGCCAUCUCCAGAGAAGCGGUCAAAACUUGUCAAAAAGACCGCCAAACGCCGACUUGUGAAACAAGCCAAUGAUAAGGACGAAGAGGCAAAGGCAGCCAAACGUUUGGCCAAUAAGGAAAAGGCUAUGGAAGAAAAGGCCAGACAAGAGGAUAACCUCAGUCAAAGCAAGGAAUUGCUGGAAAUUUCUGAUGAAUUAGCAACGGUAAAUAUAUCUUUUAUUUCCAGCACUUGUAAAAAAUUGUGA